GUGCCCACUUAGGCAGCACAUUUACUAAAACUGGAACAAUACAGGGAUUAGCAUGGCCCCUGUGCAAGGAGGACAUGCAAAGUCGUGAAGCAGUCCAUAUUUUU